GGGUUUAAUACCGUAUACGCCCUUCGGGGGAAAGAAUUUCGGUGAGGGAUCGGCCCGCGUUAGAUUAGUUAGUUGGUGGGGUAAUGGCCUACCAAGACUACGAUCUAUAGCUGGUUUGAGAGGAUGAUCAGCAACACUGGGACUGAGACACGGCCCAGACUCCUACGGGAGGCAGCAGUGGGGAAUCUUAGACAAUGGGGGCAACCCUGAUCUAGCGAUGCCGCGUGAGUGAUGAAGGCCUUAGGGUCGUAAAGCUCUUUCGCCUGUGAUGAUAAUGACAGUAGCAGGUAAAGAAACCCCGGCUAACUCCGUGCCAGCAGCCGCGGUAAUACGGAGGGGGUUAGCGUUGUUCGGAAUUACUGGGCGUAAAGCGCACGUAGGCGGAUUAGUCAGUCAGAGGUGAAAUCCCAGGGCUCAACCCUGGAACUGCCUUUGAUACUGCUAGUCUUGAGUUCGAGAGAGGUAAGUGGAAUUCCGAGUGUAGAGGUGAAAUUCGUAGAUAUUCGGAGGAACACCAGUGGCGAAGGCGGCUUACUGGCUCGAUACUGACGCUGAGGUGCGAAAGUGUGGGGAGCAAACAGGAUUAGAUACCCUGGUAGUCCACACCGUAAACGAUGAAUGCCAGUCGUCGAGUAGCAUGCUAUUCGGUGACACACCUAACGGAUUAAGCAUUCCGCCUGGGGAGUACGGUCGCAAGAUUAACACUCA
rnacentral:rRNA from 1 species